rnacentral:lncRNA from 1 species
AGUCUGUACUGGCAGCGAAUCAUACAUAGCUUAGUUUAUCAGACAAGCUGCUUUUCUUGAGCAAAGAAAGAACUAGGAGAGAAACGGGGCUUUGGAACCCUGAUGCGGCAAUGCUGAAAGAGGAGAAAUAUCCCAAGGAAGGGAAAGGUGUGUUGCAGAACGAUGAAAAAUAGGCGGCUUCUCACAGCUGUUCUCAGGGGACGAGACGGGGUGGGAUGCAGCUCCGCCGGUGCCUAACACUAAGGGCCCUCAUCCUGCCGAUUCAGUUGUGUCGGGACCGCCAGUGCUGUCUCCUCGUCAGAUGCUGCUUCUGGUCUCCCCGCAGAAGAUGCCACUGGAGUUGCCUUUUCAAGGAUGGGGACAUUUGAAGGCCCUGGACGCUCAGCUCUGAGGCUGGCUGGGAUCUCACUAGCACCCCCUGGUGGAGGCCGGAGCCAGGCUGACGCGGGAAAGUGGGGCACGGAAGCGCUGCGGAUUGGACCGGCGGCAGCUAGGCCGAAACGCCUGUAUUUAAAGGGAUAGUAACUCGGACUCGUUCUGCAAUAUCCCCACAAGGGCCUGACUGAGCGAGCGAGCAUGGACGGCCGCGGGGCUUUCUGGACAGUGGCCAUUCCCAGAGCCAGGCAGGAAGGCCUCGGGAGGCUGGGGCUCCCGUUCCCGGUGAAGCGGACGCCGCCAGCGCCCCAGAACCCAGGAGGAAGCACACAGGCCCCACAGAGAGUGGUUGGCAAGAGUCACUCGGGGAUUAGGAUGCCGGCCAAAUCGCGGAAUUUGAGGCUGGAAUCCAAGCUCAACAGGACUGCUGUGUGUGAAGCACUCAAGAGGGCCCCUACAACCAACCUGCCAGGAGUCGGCUCCUGAAAACAGGGUCGGAAAAGGGGUCUGGCACUCUUCCUCAUGCUUACGAGAUGGCUGCUGGAAUUCCAGGAAUCACAUGCAAAUUCUAGUCAGGAGCAAAGAGGAAGAGACACAGUGAAAAGGGGUAUACAGCGGCAGAAGGAAGCUCCUCAAAUGAACUCUGCUAGAACUCUAGCCAGUAGCUUCUCCUUCUAUCACAGUGGCCAGAACUGUGACAAGUGACCAUCCUUAGGGGAAAAAAGAUGCUGAGAAAUGUGAAUUUUGUUGCCACCUUACAUUUUCAAAGGAGUUCCAUUCGUAAGUACAGAACGCUCAGAGAAGAGGCAGCAGAUCUAGGAUAUGGAGCAGCAGCUCUUAAGGGCACAGUGGGAAGGUUUCAAGACUGAGGAGGAUCUUGGAUUUGGGUAGGGGAAGGCAGUUCACAGUAUUGUGGAGGAAAUGCUGUGAAAGAGAAAGUGGAAGGCAUGGAAGCUUAAACUUUUAAUAUGACUGGUGAAUACAAGGAUGAAGGGCAAAGGGAAUUCAGACUCAUGGUGGUCAGAUUAAGACCUUCAGCGGCUCUGUCUCCCAGCCCCACAUACCCACUUCCAUGUUCUGCUCUUUACUGAAGCUGAAAGUCUGCAACCUUCAUUCUCUGACUCCCUUACAUUUUCUUAGGCUUCUUGCUAGCUUCUGCCAAAAAGAGGCCCUGGCAGGAGAUUAGAUGGCAGGAGGCAGAGGUAAGGAUUCCAUGUUAACAGGUGCUGGAAGUUGCUGGUGUGGCAAUGAGAACUGGGCCCCGGUCAAGGCAGCACUACUUUGGUAGAUCCAGAAUCAACCAUGAUAACCGUGACAGUGUCUUCAACAGUGCAGCAGUAGACACAGGCCCCUGGUGCUGGAAUCCAAUACAGGGACAGGAGCAGCACGGAGUCACGGAACACCGUCUUGCCUUCAUGUCACUUUACCAUUUCUUCUUUCUCCCUCUUACUCUACCAGCUACCUGUGGAGAUGUUGAACCUUUUAUCUGUCGCUGUCUGCUUAGGAACAGAAGAAAAGGCAGCUGAUUGCUUGACUCAGCUUUCAGCUUGAUUUUUUUCCUUUGGCAGAGUGAAUUGGGGUCCCAGGUGUUCAUUUUCCUUUUGUAGUACCUUUCCUCAGCAUGCAAUUAAUACAAAAAGAACAAUAAACCUUAACAAAGUUUGGCUUGUAUUAUUCCAGACUUUCCUCUUGGAUUUUAUGUACACUUAUCUGAAUCCAUGCAGAUCAUGUCAUGUGUGUCUGUGUGUUUAUACACAUUUUUUUUUCGGUGUGCCUCAUUCUGCAACUUGAUUUUUUAAAAAAUUCGAUAACUGAUCUUGGAGAUCUGUCCAUGUUGUUACAUAUAUGAGAUUUUUGUAUUUCCUUUAAUUAAUGGUGUUCAAGUAGCCGUUUAUGUAACGAUGAACAUUCAGGUUUUUGCAAUUUUUUGCUCUUAAUAAGGUGCCCUGGUGAACAAACAUUCUUGUACAUGUGCCAGAGUUUCUCUGGAGUAAUUAACCAGCGUGGAAUUACAGAGUUGUAGAAUGUGUGCAUUUUUAGUUUUAUUAAAACUAAAAAGUAAAACUUUAAUUUUACAGUUUGCCCAAUUGUUCCUCAGAGUGGCUGUGCCAAUUUAUACUCUCCACCCCUAGGUAGGAGAGUGUCCUCUCUAAUUCUUGAUUUUUCUAAGCUCUUUAAUUUUGGUUAGUUGGGAGAUAAAAUAGUAUCUUUCUGUUUUAGUUUUCAUGUCCCUAUGGACUAAUUUUAGCAUUUGAGCAUCUUGGAUAGGUUCUUGAUAGGUUGGUGAUGGCUACUUCAGGCUGACUUGCGCUUGUGAGGUGGUGUGGCCCAUACUCCAUGGUUUUCAGUGGCAGGCCUUAGAAAUGGCUCUUUUUG